AUUGAGAGGAGGUGCAUGGCCGCCGUCAGCUCGUACCGUGAGGCGUCCUGUUAAGUCAGGCAACGAGCGAGACCCGCACUCUUAAUUGCCAGCAGCAGCUCCGGCUGGCUGGGUACAUUAAGAGGACUGCCGUGGCUAACACGGAGGAAGGAACGGGCAACGGUAGGUCAGUAUGCCCCGAAUGUGCUGGGCAACACGCGGG
rfam:Halobacteriaceae archaeon SB9 contig_33, whole genome shotgun sequence.